GUGCUUGCUUCAGCAGCACAUAUGCUAGAAUUGGAACGAUACAGAGAAGAUUAUCAUGGCGCCUGCACAAAGACGGCACACACAUUUUUUAAUUGUUCCAUAUUUAG